rnacentral:rRNA from 1 species
AGCGAACGCUGGCGGCAGGCCUAACACAUGCAAGUCGAACGAAGCCUUCGGGCUUAGUGCGGACGGGUGAGUAACACGUGGGAACGUACCUUUUGGUUCGGAAUAACGCAGAGAAAUUUGCGCUAAUACCGAAUGAGCCCUUCGGGGGAAAGAUUUAUCGGCGAAAGAUGGGCCCGCGUUGGAGUAGGUAGUUGGUGUGGUAAAGGCGCACCAAGGCUACGAUCCAUAGCUGGUCCGAGAGGAUGAUCAGCUACAGUGGGACUGAGACGCGGCCCAGACUCCUACGGGAGGCAGCAGUGGGGAAUCUUACGCAAUGGGCGAAAGCCUGACGCAGCCAUGCCGCGUGAAUGAUGAAGGUCUUAGGAUUGUAAAAUUCUUUUACCAGGGACGAUAAUGACGGUACCUGGAGAAAAAGCCCCGGCUAACUUCGUGCCAGCCGCCGCCGUAAGAC